AAUCGAAUUGCUGGAUCAUAUAGUAGUUCCAGGUUUAUGAGGUGCCACCUUACUGUUUUCUACAGUGGCUGUACUAUUUUGCAUUCCCACUAGCAAU
rnacentral:pre_miRNA from 1 species